CCCUUUAUUAAAGAUUUAUUUUAUUUUAUCUUAUUUUAUUUUAGAGAGAGAGAGAGAGAGUAUGAGAGUGGAGAGGUCAGAGGGAGAAGCAGACUCCCCACCGAGCAGGGAGCUGGACGUGGGACUCGAUCCCGGGACUCCAGGAUCAUGACCUGAGCCGAAGGCAGCUGCUUAACCAAAUAAGCCACCCAGGUGCCCUUAAUCUUUCCUUUUUAUAUUUUCUACAACAGAAGACCUACAUUUUGGUGAUAAUAAAAAGUGGUCUCAAGCUGGAAAUCAGCCAACUGACACUUACCCAGAGCUGUUGUAUGCCAGGCACAGGGGAGAAACAAAGAUGGCCUUUUGGAUCAUGGACCUCACAGUCCCAGAUACCAACAAAAACACUCCUUGACAUCUGAGUUCUGUGGACACACUGCUUGGAUUCAGAUCUUGACUCUGUCAUUCGUUAGGUGAGUAAUCUUUGCCAAAUUAUUUAACUUCUGUGAGCUUCAGUUUCCACAUCUCUAAAAUGGAAGUAGAAAUAGGAAACUUGUAAGGAUGAUGUAAACUAGCAUUUCAAGUGCCUACAAGA
rnacentral:lncRNA from 1 species